rnacentral:rRNA from 1 species
GACGAACGCUGGCGGCGUGCUUAACACAUGCAAGUCGAACGGAAAGGCCCUGCUUUUGCGGGGUGCUCGUGUGGCGAACGGGUGAGUAAAACGUGAGUAACCUGCCCCUGACUUUGGGAUAACUUCAGGAAACUGGGGCUCAUACCGGAUAGAAGCUCCUGCUGCAUGGUGGGGGUUGGAAAGAUUCGGCGGUUGGGGCUGGAAUCGCGGCUUAUCAGCUUGUUGGUGGGGUAGUGGCUUACAAAGGCUUUGACGGGUAGCCGGCCUGGGAGGUUGACCGGCGACAUUGGGACUGAGAGACGGCGCAGACGCCUACGGGAGGCAGCAGGGGGGAAUAUUGCACAAUGGGCGGAAGCCUGAUACGGCGACGCCGGGUGCGGGAUGACGGGCUACGGGUUGUAAACCGCUGUCGCCUGUGACGAAGCGUGAGUGACGGUAAUGGGUAAAGAAGCACCGGCUAACUACGUG